UACGUAGGGUGCGAGCGUUAAUCGGAAUUACUGGGCGUAAAGCGUGCGCAGGCGGUUUUGUAAGCCAGAUGUGAAAUCCCCGGGCUUAACCUGGGAAUGGCAUUUGGGACUGCAAGGCUGGAGUUUGGCAGAGGAGACUGGAAUUCCCGGUGUAGCAGUGAAAUGCGUAGAUAUCAGCAGGAACACCCGUGGCGAAGGCGGCUUCCUGGAUCCUACCUGACGCUGAGGCGCGAAAGCGUGGGGAGCGAACGGG
rnacentral:rRNA from 1 species